rnacentral:rRNA from 1 species
UGCCAGCAGCCGCGGUAACACGGGGGGCGCAAGCGUUAUUCGGAAUUACUGGGCAUAAAGAGCAUGUAGGCGGCUCGCUAAGUCAGGUGUGAAAUCCCCCGGCUCAACCGGGGAACUGCACUUGAAACUGGCAAGCUCGAGGAUGGUUGGGGUGAGUGGAACUUCAGGUGGAGCGGUGAAAUGCGUAGAUAUCUGAAGGAACACCGGCGGCGAAAGCGGCUCACUGGACCAUUCCUGACGCUGAGAUGCGAAAGCUAGGGUAGCGAACGGGAUUAGAUA